rnacentral:rRNA from 1 species
AACGAACGCUGGCGGCAUGCCUAACACAUGCAAGUCGAACGAGACCUUCGGGUCUAGUGGCGCACGGGUGCGUAACGCGUGGGAACCCGCCCUUAGGUUCGGAAUAACUCCCCGAAAGGGGUGCUAAUACCGGAUAAUGUCUUCGGACCAAAGAUUUAUCGCCUUUGGAUGGGCCCGCGUUGGAUUAGCUAGUUGGUAGGGUAAAAGCCUACCAAGGCGACGAUCCAUAGCUGGUCUGAGAGGAUGAUCAGCCACACUGGGACUGAGACACGGCCCAGACUCCGACGGGAGGCAGCAGUGGGGAAUAUUAGACAAUGGGCGAAAGCCUAAUCAAGCAAUGCCGCGUGAGUGAUGAAGGCCUUAGGGUUGUAAAGCUCUUUUACCCGGGAUGAUAAUGACAGUACCGGGAGAAUAAGCUCCGGCUAACUCCGUG